UUUGACAUGUACGGAACCCUCCAGAGAUGGAGGGGUGCUCGAAAGAGAGCCGUAACACAGGUGCUGCAUGGCUGUCGUCAGCUCGUGUCGUGAGAUGUUGGGUUAAGUCCCGCAACGAGCGCAACCCUUGUCAUUAGUUGCUACAUUUAGUUGGGCACUCUAAUGAGACUGCCGGUGACAAACCGGAGGAAGGUGGGGAUGACGUCAAGUCCUCAUGGCCCUUAUAGGUGG
rnacentral:rRNA from 1 species